CACAGCAGGACUGGCUAUCCUUAAAUCUUGUUCAAAUUUAUAAUAAAUUGACAGGCCUUGGUUACAUUGGAAUCUCUGGCAUAUUAAUUGUUAUGUAAAAAUUCAUAGUAUUUCUUGCAUAGAUGUCAUUAACUUGUAUGAAGUGCAUUUCAAAUUAUCUAAUUGUUAUUCAACUGGUAAUGCUAAGUGCCAAAUUCACUUAGCAUAUGAGAUGCUGAGUAGAAGGUCUCAUGUACUGUACUAUGAUGACCAUUUCUGAGUUAUGUUUGGUAAAUCAGCAUAUUCCAGUCCCUCUUCUACUAAUGCAACUAUGAUUCAUAUGGAAAAAUCACCACAAUAAGGAUUUAAAUCCCAUUUUGUAGAGGGUACCAACAGGUGACACUGUAAAUGAAGUCAUAAGCUCUGAUUAGUGAUCAUUAAGUCCAUUUUUCUCUGAAUAAUCUAGUCAAAAGUCAUUAUGGCUUAUGGCAAGAUCUGAACCUUGGAAAUCAUUAUAAGAUUCCAGUAUCCAACUGACUUUAGGGCAAUAUUCCUUAUGUAUUCAUGUAAAAGAACCCUUCUAUCGUCAGAUGCAUGUGAGGAAGUAACAACACAGUGGUAAGGAUUCAAGUACCACAGACUACCAAAUGAGGUUGAUGGGCAAUCACAGAGCUUGACAUAUACUGUUAAGUUCUAGACAGCAAAUGAGAAUGCCAGACAUAAAAAUUCAGACAAUGAGCAUCAAUUGACGUUAACCAUCAUAGGAAUAAUACUCUUAUAGCAUUGUUCUAAAAACAGAUGUUUUCAUUUAGGGUAUCUAUAUUGGCUGUAAAGACAUAGCAUUUUGAAGGUCAACAAACUUUAACAGUGCUUUAUCACUUUCUAAGUGUCCCUUUAGACCUUAUUCUACUCGUAGCCCCAUAUGCUACACAUACAGUCGGCGCCAAAGGUACUGGCGCGAAAAUCGUGCGCUAAUAUCCGUGACGAAUUAUCAAAGACACCCAAGGAAAACAACAAUUGUAUUGGCGUGCAAUCGUGAGGUAGAAUGGGCAGAGCUUAAGUCCCACACAGAGAAUAUAGGUCUCAGUUGCCUGCUGUGUUUCAUGGUGGAAACAUCAAUUUUUUUUGUCACGGAACCCACGUGUUUUUCCUACUGUAGCUUGCAAAACGUGUCUGUUAGUACAAUCCAACGCCGCCUCAAGGACAACCUCUGCUAUACGCAUCAGGCGCCACAACAUAAAUGCAUUCUAACUGAGAAACAGAAGCAAAAACGUGUUAAAUUUUGUAGGAAAUAUCUGAAUUGGGACAGUGAGAAGUGAAAGAAGGUAUUGUGGAGUGAUGAGGCUGCGUUUUAUGUUACUGGGAACCAAGGAGGUAAGGUGAGGCUACCAGGGUGCGGACCUGUACCAUCCCAAGCACACACAGGGGACAGUCAAGCACCUUGAUAGUGUCAUGGUAUGGGGUGCCUUUGGGUACCAUGGCAAGGGCAAGCUUGUUGUGUUGCCUAAAACAUUACAGUGAACAAGGAAAGAUAUUUGGAACUGUUGUGUGACCAUCUGGAGGAUUGCUUUGAUGCAUGCAAGAGUGAGGUGUUCAUGCAGGAUGGAGGCCCUGCACACACAGCAAAAUUAGUCAAGGAAUGGUUUGAGUUUGUAGUAGUGGACUACAUACAGGACUGGCCUGGUAAUAGUCCAGACUUUAAUCCAAUUGAAAAUCUUUGGGGACUCAUAAAGAGACGGCAACGAGGAAGUAACACUGCAACUCUGCCAAAGCUCGUGAAGGAGAUUCAGGAUAUCCGGGACAAUUUGAAACCCUCCAUGCUCCAAAGACUUGCUGAAUCCAUUCCUCGACGCCUGGAGAGUUGUCUCAAGAGAAAAGGACUCCCCACAAAUUAUUAGAGGCUGGUAGGUUCCCCUUAAAUAUUUCUAUUAAUUAUUUUUCUAAGUGUUACAAGAGAAAAACGUACCGCACCAAUACCUGUGGCGCCGACUGUAAAUAUUGAUUACUAUUGAAAAUAUAUAAAAAUGUGUACCAAUGAAUGGUUCACCUUACAAUAAGUAAUUAUAGGAUAAAAUACAAUUAACAAUAACAAUAAUAAUGCCACUUGAAUAGCAUCAAGAACUAGAAUGCCUAAUUCAUCAAGUAAAAAAUCAUCAUCAAUAUCAGUUACACACAAUAAUUUCUUAUAAAACUGUAUACAUAAUGCUGAUAAAAAUUUUAAUAGAAUAAGAUCUUCACAAGAAUUACUUCAUGAUCUUGUCUGAAACUGAAUAGGAAAAUACAGAUUAUGAAAUUGUAGGAGAGAGAGAGAGAGAGAGAGAGAGAGAGAGAGAGAGAGAGAGAGAGAGAGAGAGAGAGAGAGAGAGAGAGAGAGAGAGGGAGAGAGAGAGAGAGAGAGAGAGAGAGAGAGAGAGAGA